GACGGAGGGUGCAAGCGUUAUCCGGAAUCACUGGGCGUAAAGGGUCUGUAGGCGGUUUUUUAAGUCUGCUGUUAAAGCUUGAAGCUCAACUUCAAAAAUGCAUCGGAAACUAGAAGUCUUGAGUAUGGUAGGGGUAGAGGGAAUUUCCAGUGAAGUGGUGAAAUGCGUAGAUAUUGGAAAGACCACCAAAGGCGAAGGCGCACCACUGGGCCACAACUGACGCUGAGAGACGAAAGCUAGGGGAGCGAAUGGG
rnacentral:rRNA from 1 species